CCUACGGGGGGCUGCAGUCGAGAAUCUUCCGCAAUGGACGAAAGUCUGACGGAGCGACGCCGCGUGCGGGAUGAAGGCCCUUGGGUUGUAAACCGCUGUCAGAGGGGAUGAAAUCUUCGGAGGUACUCCUCCGAAGUUGACAGAGCCUCAAAGGAAGCACGGGCUAAGUACGUGCCAGCAGCCGCGGUAACACGUACUGUGCGAACGUUAUUCGGAAUCACUGGGCUUAAAGGGUGCGUAGGCGGCGAUUCAAGUCAGAUGUGAAAUGCCUGAGCUCAACUGAGGCAUUGCGUUUGAAACUGAACCGCUAGAGUAUUUCAGGGGUGUGCGGAACUGCCAGUGGAACGGUGAAAUGUGUUGAUAUUGGCAGGAACACCGGAGGCGAAAGCGGCACACUGGGGAAUAACUGACGCUGAGGCACGAAAGCCAGGGGAGCGAACGGGCUUAGAUACCCUUGUAGUC
rnacentral:rRNA from 1 species